CAAAGGCUUGGUCCUGGCUUUGCCAUCCGCUGUAGUUAUAUUUAUACAUGCAGUAUCCGCCCUCCCGUGAGAAUGCCCCUAAUUCCUUUCCGGAAGUAGGGAGCUGGUAUCAGGCACACUUAAAAGUAGCCCACAACACCUUGCUCAGCCACACCCUCAAGGGUACUCAGCAGUGAUAGACAUUAAGCAAUAAGUGUAAACUUGACUUAUUAAUAACUGAUAAGGCCGGUAAAAUUCGUGCCAGCAACCGCGGUUAUACGAAAGGCCUAAGUUGAUGAAAUACGGCGCAAAGAGUGGUUAGGAUCCUAUCCAAUUAAAGCUAAACCCCCUCCUGGUUGUUUCAAGCCUAUGAGACCCUGAAACACAACUACGAAAGUGACUUUAUAUUCCUGAUUCCACGAAAGCUAGGAAACAAACUGGGAUUAGAUACCCCACUAUGCCUAGUUGUAAACAAUGAUAUUAUAAACUUUUAAUAUCCGCCCGGGUAUUACGAACACAAGUUUAAAACCCAAAGGACCUGGCGGUGCUUAAUAUCCCCCUAGAGGAGCCUGUUCUAGAACCGAUAACCCCCGUUAAACCUCACCCCUUUUUGCAACCCCUGCCUAUAUACCGCCGUCGCCAGCUUACCCUGCUAAGGUCUAAUAGUAAGCAAAAUUGGUAUAACCCAGAACGUCAGGUCGAGGUGUAGUAUAUGAGGGGGGAAGAGAUGGGCUACAUUGACUAAUUUAGUCUAAACGAAAAGCUAUUAUGAAAUUUAUGCUUGAAGGUGGAUUUAGUAGUAAGUAGAAAACAGAGUGUUCUACUGAAUACGGCCCUUAAGCGAGCACACACCGCCCGUCACCCUCUCUUAAGCCUACCAAACUUAGAUAACUAACCCACAUUCCUGCUAACAAAGGGAGGGAAGUCGUAACAUGGUAAGUGUACCGGAAGGUGUACUUGGAUU
rnacentral:ncRNA from 1 species